UUUCUAGACCUCACAUUGGGAUUAAUAUCUGUAGUAUUAAGUAUGAUUCUAAUCAUUAUAAGUACAUUUGUAAGACAUUUCCCCACUGGUGAUAGAAAAUGAGAGUAACUUUUUUUCCCUCCUGUUGUCUUUCUUCCUCUGAGGUACGUGGCACAAAGAAAGAGAAAUAGAACUUGUCACCAUCAUCAGUCCUUUAUUUCAUUCACUGGGGAACAUCACAACCUUCAGAUGUGUCUUAUCAGGAUAAAUGCAGCUGCAGGGAAAAUUAUUUGAAGGACUCGUCAGCCCCAUCCUACUCCAGAUUCAUCAAGGAUCCAGCUGAAGCCCCGUUCACACUACAAGCGACACGCAACAACAAAGCAACACGAUCCCAUUCAUUUCAAUGGAGAGCUGGCGAUUUCCGGCGACAGAGGCCGUUGGCGACCGAAUGGGGCGUGUCCAGCGACGUGACAAAGUUCAGAAUCAUUCAACUUUAUGCAAAUGAAGAGCGACUUUCGGGAGCAAUAGCCAAUAGGAAAGAAGACGGUAGAGCUCAUGUGAUCGUUCUCCUCUCAGCCGUAGAUAAACAUACGCAAUGGAAAAAACGGCAAGAAACCUGAUUCGCUGUGAAGGCAACCAGUAGUGAGAACGCCCGCUAGCAACCUCAUCACCAGCCACUGUAACCGCAGCUUCAUUACUGGCCAUUUGGAGGAGGAUUGUCCUUUAUCUGCUACACUGCACUGCCACUUCUGAGGCUCUUUAGAAGACCGCACUGAUGUCAAAGGUCAACCGGCAAGAAGCUGAGGGGGAACUCUCAAAAUUGGUACAAGAGACAGAGGACAGUGUAAGCAGUACUGAAACAUGUAUAGUUGCUGCUGCUUCUAACUGUCCCCAGUUUUUUUUUUUUUCUUGUGCAAAUGUUCAAAGCUUUCAGUAAACACUGGUUCAAAUA